rnacentral:rRNA from 1 species
UUGACAUACUAAGAACUUUCCAGAGAUGGAUUGGUGCCUUCGGGAACUUAGAUACAGGUGCUGCAUGGCUGUCGUCAGCUCGUGUCGUGAGAUGUUGGGUUAAGUCCGCAACGAGCGCAACCCUUUUCCUUAUUUGCCAGCGGGUAAUGCCGGGAACUUUAAGGAUACUGCCAGUGACAAACUGGAGGAAGGCGGGACGACGUCAAGUCAUCAUGGCCCUUACGGCCAGGGCUACACACGUGCUACAAUGGUCGGUACAAAGGGUUGCUACCUCGCGAGAGGAUGCUAAUCUCAAAAAGCCGAUCGUAGUCCGGAUCGCAGUCUGCAACUCGACUGCGUGAAGUCGGAAUCGCUAGUAAUCGCGGAUCAGAAUGCCGCGGUGAAUACGUUCCCGGGCCUUGUACACACCGCCCGUCACACCAUGGGAGUUUGUUGCACCAGAAGUAGGUAGUCUAACCGCAAGGAGGACGCUUACCACGGUGUGGCCGAUGACUGGGGUGAAGUCGUAACAAGGUAGGCGUAGAUGA